CGAACCGAGUAGUGAAAACCGGACUCUGGCGAGAGAUUGAAACGCAACUUGGUUUCUCGGAGAAAGAGCUGAGGAAGAAGUGGGAUUCUCUGCGAACCCAGUACACCCGGUACAGGAGACUUGCCCCUUCGGGUAGCUGUGGAGCACCAAGGACUGGCAGACAGCAGUGGAUCAUAACCAGGCUGCAGUUUGCACACGCUAUUUGUUUUUGUUUAUAUCACGCAGUCUGUUCUUCUUCUCUGUCUUCCGGUUGUUGCCUAUUUUUAAUGACGAAUACACACUACCGCCGCCUGCUGGUAAGGAGAGUUAUUGCCACUCACGCACUGAAGUCUUUGCGGUGUGUUCCCGUGCGACACAUGGCCAAGACGCAGGAGAACACGGCGACGCAACAGUCGGCGUCGGCGAGUCCUCUGGUGACUGCUUGGUGUGUCAGGGCCUUAACAUGCAUCUAUAACCCACAAUCCUCUAAUUUGCCCAAAUAGUUUGAACGACACAUGAUCUCCAAAUGCUUUCAGUCCAUUGAUUCACAUGUUGCAGCUACAGGCCUCGGCUUUGAAUCCCACUUUGGCUUCCGCCUCAUUCCCCAUGCAAGAUGCAUAUGCAGAUUGCACAUGAGCCCUUGUGAAAAUAAAGGCACUUGUGGUGAGGGGGUCUGAAAAGUCUCCUGAAGUGGUAGACUCUGCGGCCUAAUUAACAUGCCAUAGGUGUUAAUUGGCAGCUGGCAGCAGUCAGAGCAUGCAGCAGGUGAGCACCAGCGCUCGUUGAACUCAGUUGCACUGAAUGGCACGAGGAGUCACUGGAGGUUUAUACGGCAGAGAUUUGCAAAUCAAUGCUCACGGCUGGAGGUUAAUUUGGAUGUGGAGAAGUCUGACAUCAUGUUUCCAACCUCAUUCAGGAGGUUAAAUCACCAUUUUCCCUGCUUUUUUGUUUUGUGCCCAUAGAAUUGGAUUAUAUUAGAAUCUGAUCAUUUUACUACAGUGGUGUGUGAGAGCUUUUUUCUCAUUUAGAAAAUCAAUGUUUAAUAAGGCAUGUUGGUGUUGAUAGCUUCAUAAUUUAAGUUAUUUUGAACGUUAUCACUUUAAAGUCACUUGUCAGUAAAAGGUGAUAAUUUGUUCCCAGCAAAGUGAAGCCUCCUGCCUGACAGAGGAUUAGCAGACUCCCAUUAAUAAUGGUAGGUAAUAAGAAAUGCAUGUGGAUUAUUGAAAAUGCUUCAGAUAAUCCAGCUGUUAUUAAAUCCAUUAAACACACAGGUUCCCAUAUUAACCUAAUUACUUUUAUAAUACGAAAUUGUACUGAGCCUCAAAUGCAUUGUUUUUUUUUCAGGUGACUAUUAAUUUAGCUAAACUAGACUUAAAGGCAUUGUUUAUCAUUCAAUGUAACUGAUUUAAAAGAGUAAUUUCCCAUAAAGAAUGAGCAAAUGCUUCAAAAUUAAAACAUUGUGUCCUUUCAAAAUUAAAUCAUUUUUUCAAAUAAAAAA